UACGGAGGGUGCAAGCAUUAAUCGGAUUUAUUGGGCGUAAAGGGCGCGUAGGCGGAUCUGCAAGUCAAGUGUGAAAUCCCGGGGCUCAACCUCGGAACAGCACCUGAAACUGCAGAACUAGAGGGUAGGAGGAGAGAAUGGAAUUCCACAAGUAGCGGUGAAAUGCGUAGAUAUGUGGAAGAACACCUGUGGCGAAAGCGGUUCUCUAUCUUACUCCUGACGCUGAGGCGCGAAAGCAAGGGGAGCAAACAGG
rnacentral:rRNA from 1 species